CACCGCGGUUAUACGAGGGACCCAAGUUGAUAGAUCACGGCGUAAAGAGUGGUUAAGAGUAUAAGAUACUAAAGCCGAAUGCCCCCACGGCUGUUAUACGCAUCCGGAGGUAAGAAGCUCAAUUACGAAAGUGGCUUUACAAUACCUGAACCCACGAAAGCUAAGACA
rnacentral:rRNA from 1 species